AGAUGCAAGGGAGGGGUAGGAUGCCGGUGACAGCAGAAGGAGCGGGCCGGUGUAGAGGGCAAGCAGCACAUGAAGAUUAAGAAGGAUAUGACGCUUUGUAUAGUUUCAUGGAUGGGGUUUGGGUGUCCUGAUGAGAGCAGUUCAGUGGCUGCACCUCUGCAACCUCGCCAACGUGGACAAUCACUGGUCAUGAGUACAGGAUCAAGCCGCGGAUAUUUACGGCACGACAUGGAGUAUUUGGUGGAACUGGCUAUGGAAGUGUGUCCCUCCAUGUUGUACGCAGACCGUGAUAUGGUGAAUUAUUUCGUAGGCACGACAUUAUGAGCUCCUGUUUUGCAGCACAUGGAUACUUUUCGGCAUAAAUGUCAUGGG